ACUGGUCGAGUCGGCCUGCGCGGAAGAUGUAACGGGGCUAAACCAUGCACCGAAGCUGCGGCAGCGACGCUUAGGCGUUGUUGGGUAGGGGAGCGUUCUGUAAGCCUGCGAAGGUGGCCUGUGAGGGUUGCUGGAGGUAUCAGAAGUGCGAAUGCUGACAUAAGUAACGAUAAAGCGGGUGAAAAGCCCGCUCGCCGGAAGAC
rnacentral:rRNA from 1 species